UACGAAGGGGGCUAGCGUUGCUCGGAAUUACUGGGCGUAAAGCGCACGUAGGCGGAUUGUUAAGUCGGGGGUGAAAUCCUGGAGCUCAACUCCAGAACUGCCUUCGAUACUGGCGAUCUCGAGUUCGGGAGAGGUGAGUGGAACUGCGAGUGUAGAGGUGAAAUUCGUAGAUAUUCGCAAGAACACCAGUGGCGAAGGCGGCUCACUGGCCCGAUACUGACGCUGAGGCACGAAAGCGUGGGGAGCAAACAGG
rnacentral:rRNA from 1 species